UGGCAUAAGCCAGCUUGACUGCGAGCGUGACGGCGCGAGCAGGUGCGAAAGCAGGUCAUAGUGAUCCGGUGGUUCUGAAUGGAAGGGCCAUCGCUCAACGGAUAAAAGGUACUCCGGGGAUAACAGGCUGAUACCGCCCAAGAGUUCAUAUCGACGGCGGUGUUUGGCACCUCGAUGUCGGCUCAUCACAUCCUGGGGCUGAAGUAGGUCCCAAGGGUAUGGCUGUUCGCCAUUUAAAGUGGUACGCGAGCUGGGUUUAGAACGUCGUGAGACAGUUCGGUCCCUAUCUGCCGUGGGCGCUGGAGAACUGAGGGGGGCUGCUCCUAGUACGAGAGGACCGGAGUGGACGCAUCACUGGUGUUCGGGUUGUCAUGCCAAUGGCACUGCCCGGUAGCUAAAUGCGGAAGAGAUAAGUGCUGAAAGCAUCUAAGCACGAAACUUGCCCCGAGAUGAGUUCUCCCUGAGACUUAGAGUCUCCUGAAGGAACGUUGAAGACGACGACGUUGAUAGGCCGGGUGUGUAAGCGCAGCGAUGCGUUGAGCUAACCGGUACUAAUGAACCGUGAGGCUUAACCUUACA
rnacentral:rRNA from 1 species